UGAAACAGGCAAUGGCAAUGUUAUGGGCUGGAUUUUGUCCCCUCAAAUUCUUAUGCUGAAGUCCUAACCCUCUAGUACCUCAGAAUGUGACUAGAGAUAAGGUCUUCAAAGAGGUAAUUAAGUUAAAAAGAGUUCAUUAGGAUGGGCGCUAAUCCAAUCUGACAGGUGACCUCACAAGAAAAGGAGAUUAGGGUACAGAUACACACACAGGGAAGAAUGCAUGAAGUCCCUGGGAUAAGGCAGCCAUUUACAAGCCAAGGGAAAGGCCUCAGAAGAAACCAGUCUUGCCGACAGCAUGAUCUCUCAUCCUCAGAACUGGGAGGAAAUACAUCUGUGUUGUUUCAGCCACUCAGUUGGUGAUCUCUAUUACAGCAGUCCUUAGCAAACCGAUUUAGACAGGGCUUUGGAUGCCAACCAGAAGAAGCUGUAGGAAUUGGCACAGAUCCAGAGCAUGGACAAGGACUUACACUUCUGCUGAAGGCAAAGGAGAAACAGCAUUAUCUAAAAAGCAACCAAGACUUCAGGGGAUGAGAACCCACUAACUAUUACAGUCCACGUGUCAGUCGCGUUUCUCAUCGUGAUUAACACCCCAGCCAUUGAUUUGCUCUUCAGUGUCUAGUGAGCAAGGCUACUGUGAAUCUUUCCUCAGGAGGACUGAUGGAGUCACAUUUCUGAGCCUACAGAGCUGAGGGCAAGACCUGAGAAUGGUGAUGUCAAAAUGCCAACCAGCGAGACCUCUUGGUGGCCAGAAGAGAGACAUCUUGGCAAGAAAUUCCAGGUGAGAAAGGAAACCUGUCUGCAAACAGUGAAAAAUUUGAAAAGGGCUGGGGAUGGAGGAGUGAACACAAUGGGAUAAACAAACCGAAAAAAACACCCCAUUAUGUCGGAAUAAAAGAAACCUGUGAGGUGUUCAAACAGCAUUACUAAGCCAAUUCUGGUCAUCCAAAUAAGAGAAAUCAGAAAUGCAAUUACUCCAACCCUGAAGAGUAAAUACAUAAAAUAAGAAGCCGAAGCAAAAGCAAUCAGAAUAAAGACUGAAAUUCAUCAAAGCCCCU
ensembl:lncRNA LINC00575 long intergenic non-protein coding RNA 575